rnacentral:rRNA from 1 species
AAUCUGGUUGGGUGGUCUGCCUUCACGGUACGUACUGCUCGGCCGGAUUCUACCUCUUGGUGAGCCGGCAUGUCCUUCACUGGAUGUGUCGGGGAACCAGGACUUUUACCUUGAGAAAAUUAGAGUGUUCAAAGCAGGCCUAUGCCCGAAUACAUUAGCAUGGAAUAAUAAAAUAGGACGUGCGGUUCUAUUUUGUUGGUUUCUAGAGUCGCCGUA